AUACUUAGUUGACAAGGGAGAUACCAUGAACAUGAAGGGGUUUUUUCCCCUCCAGUUGAGACUCAUUCAUUACAAUGUGGGUGUGCUGACCCAUGUAAUUUCCCCAAAUGUGGAAAAACUUGAUUACAUAAUUUAUGAUAACGGAGGACUGUCUUCAUGCCUACUCUUG
rnacentral:snRNA from 1 species